rnacentral:rRNA from 1 species
GAUGAACGCUGGCGGCGUGCCUAACACAUGCAAGUCGAGCGUGAAGUCUUGGAAUGAUACUUCGGUAAAGUGAAGAGAUGGAAAGCGGCGGACGGGUGAGUAACGCGUAGGUAACCUGCCCCAUACACAGGGAUAGCCUAGGGAAACCUGGAUUAAUACCUGAUAACGCAUUGUUGUCACAUGAUAACGAUGCCAAAGAUUUAUCGGUAUGGGAUGGACCUGCGUCUGAUUAGUUAGUUGGUGAGGUAACGGCUCACCAAGGCAGCGAUCAGUAGCCGACCUGAGAGGGUAAUCGGCCACAUUGGAACUGAGACACGGUCCAAACUCCUACGGGAGGCAGCAGUGGGGAAUAUUGCACAAUGGGCGAAAGCCUGAUGCAGCAACGCCGCGUGAGCGAAGAA